UACAGAGGGUGCGAGCGUUAAUCGGAAUUACUGGGCGUAAAGCGUGCGUAGACGGUAGCGUAAGUCAGAUGUGAAAGCCCCGGGCUCAACCUGGGAAUUGCAUUUGAGACUGCUCUGCUCGGGUGCGGAAGAGGGAAGCGGAAUUUCCGGUGUAGCGGUGAAAUGCGUAGAUAUCGGAAGGAACACCAGUGGCGAAAGCGGCUUUCUGGUCUGUAACUGACGCUGAGGCGCGAAAGCGUGGGGAGCAAACAGG
rnacentral:rRNA from 1 species